GAUCCUGGCUCAGAACGAACGCUGGCGGCAGGCUUAACACAUGCAAGUCGAGCGCCCCGCAAGGGGAGCGGCAGACGGGUGAGUAACGCGUGGGAACGUACCUUUUGCUACGGAAUAACUCAGGGAAACUUGUGCUAAUACCGUAUGUGCCCUUCGGGGGAAAGAUUUAUCGGCAAAGGAUCGGCCCGCGUUGGAUUAGCUAGUUGGUGAGGUAAAGGCUCACCAAGGCGACGAUCCAUAGCUGGUCUGAGAGGAUGAUCAGCCACACUGGGACUGAGACACGGCCCAGACUCCUACGG
rnacentral:rRNA from 1 species